AUCUCUCUCAUUUUUCUCUCCUUUCCCCAAUUCAUCUCUGCAUCUCCUCUUCAUUGCUCUAAAAAACACAAGAUCCUUCUUCCUCCCAUUUUUUUUUUCAUUUCUCUCGGAACUCUUCCCAUGUACCUCGACGCAAACCCGUAGCCUUAGCCAUGCAACCACACUCUUUUCUGCAACAACCCAAAACAAUUGCGGUCAUGGGAAUGUAGACACAUUUCAGCUCCACUCGUCCCACAGAGGGAUGUCGGAUCCGCAGAAGUCAUAAUGGGCAAAAGGAAAAACAGCACUCAAUUAGCUCAGAUCCGAAACACAAAAAGGGUGCAAAGGUUCUCGAACUGGAGCUGAACAAUAGCAAGGACAAAACAAACAUUGAAGACAUCGCGGACCCGAGUCAUGCAGAGGUAAAAAUUUUAUUUGCCACCAGUGAUGACCCCAAAUGCUGCUAAAAGCAUGAUUCAAUUGAAUUUUGCGCGCUUAAUGGAUAUUUAGGGCCCUUCGAGUCCAAAUGCAACCUGCAAAAAAAAAAAAAAAAAAAAAAAAAAAAA